UGCCUCUUGACACAUUAAAUAAAAGGUAACGCCUGCCCGGUGAUUUACGAAUUAAACGGCUGCGGUACACCUGACCGUGCAAAGGUAGCAUAUAAUAUGCCCUUUAAUUGGGGGCUGGUAUGAAUGGACCAACGAGGGCCAAGCUGUCUCUAAAGCACUAAUUAAAAUUAACCUCCAGGUGAAGAGGCCUGAAUUAAAUUAAAAGACAAAAAGACCCUAUAGAGCUUUACUACCUAAAAUCCAGCAGCGUGCCCAAACAAUACGCACGCUUUAACAAGUUUAGUGGUUCAACUGGGGCGGUUGAGGAGCAAGUUACCCUCCUCUAUAAAAAAAGGCUACACACCUUUAAAAGAUCCAAAAAAGGUAAGAGCACAAAGCUACCUUAGGGAUAACAGACUAAUCUAUCCCGAGAGUACUAAUCGAAGGAAAGGGUUGGCACCUCGAUGUUGGCUUAGAGUACCCAAGGGGUUGCAGGAGCUCCUAAAGGUUGGUUUGUUCAACCAUUAAAACUCU
rnacentral:rRNA from 1 species